UUUUAACUUUCAUCCGACGAGUUCCGGGUUCGAGCCCCGGGCAACCCA
rnacentral:tRNA from 1 species